UACGGAGGAUGCAAGCGUUAUCCGGAAUCAUUGGGCGUAAAGCGCGUGUAGGCGGCCCGGUAAGUCCGCUGUGAAAGUCGGGGGCUCAACCCUCGGAUGCCGGUGGAUACUGUCGGGCUCGAGUACGGAAGAGGCGAGUGGAAUUCCUGGUGUAGCGGUGAAAUGCGCAGAUAUCAGGAGGAACACCGAUUGCGAAGGCAGCUCGCUGGGACGUGACUGACGCUGAGACGCGAAAGCGUGGGGAGCAAACAGG
rnacentral:rRNA from 1 species